CAGAGGUAUGAGCAUAGAGUGAGAGGUCAGGGCCAAGAAGCAAAACAGAGAAACAGACAAGACAGGACAGUGCCUGCUCUACCUGCUGGCUUGAGAGCCAGUGCCUGAAGCUGCUUCCUGUAUCACAUCUUCGCCUCUUCAUCUAACAAAUAGGUGUGAGUGAGCUGCUGUCCUCAGCUUACUGUUGGGGGAGAGUCAUUUGCAAGUUUUUUACAUGACUCCUCAGGCUCUAAGAGAUAUGAAAUAGCUCUCUGUCUUGUGAAAUGUCUUGCUUGUAAAUUGUCCCUAAAAGAACUGCACUGUGUUCCUGUCUGAUUCUCCCAGGUAGUGUUGAAGCACCUCAAAGGUAAGGACUGUGUUUCCAGACUCUCUGACAGAUUCCCACUGUGUGUCUUCCCCCCACAUCCUUGUUGGCUGACAGAUUUCCCAGUAACACAAAAGAUUCUGAACUUGCACCAGACACAAGCCAGCCUCAGUAACAACUAACUUCAGAUUUACCUAUCUUUUUGGAAAUGCAAAAUAGACCUCUGUGUGUGUCUUCCUCCAGCUUUUCUUAACUCUCAUUGCUAAAUUCAUGAUUUCGUGGUAAAAAAAAAAAAAAAAGCCCCUGGAAAACAGCCAGUAAAUUCUUGGUGUUUAAUAUUAUCCUAAAGGCAAGCAUCUUUCUCUUUCCAACUUGCUGACAACACAAUUGUUAGGGGUCAUGCACUCAAAAUGGGUGUGUCUUCUUGGUAAAAAAUAAUACACAUGUGGUUGUCCUAGCAGUUCCUGAUUCUGUUUCUAUUUUCUACACUUUCUCUAAGAGGAUGUCUGGGUCAGCUCUGACACACCCAGACCCUUCAACUCUGUCUUAACAUCCUGGACUGCUGCCAGUCUCCUUUCUCCAGACGAAGCAGCAUAAGACCAAUCUACGAGGACUUUGGAGCUGGGUGUCUACAAGGCCAGCAGAGCUCAGCAGUUUACCGGCCGUCUGAUCCAGAGCCGUGGGAGUUUCAUCAUCUCUAAUCUCUUGAACACAGCAUGAUCUCAGAGGGGAGAGAAAAAGCCCAGCAACAGUGAGAAAAUCGGUCAAAAUCAUCUUGUUCCUUUUUUUGUAUCAGACAAAGAAUUGCCUUCAGAACUGGGAAUGUAGGUUCAGGAACGGAAUUAUGGAGUAGGG
rnacentral:lncRNA from 1 species